GUAACGACAGCAUCACCACCACAGACAUGACUAGAACACAAGGUAACAACAAGAUCACCACCACAGACAUGACUAGAACACAAGGUAACAACAGCAUCACCAUCACAGACAUGACUAGAACACAAGGUAACAACAGCAUCACCACCACAGACAUGACUAGAACACAAGGUAACAACAGCAUCACCACCACAGACAUGACUAGAACACAAGGUAACAACAAGAUCACCACCACAGACAUGACUAGAACACAAGGUAACAACAGCAUCACCACCACAGACAUGACUAGAACACAAGGUAACAACAGCAU
ensembl:lncRNA